UUCAUUUUAUUGUGGUUUGAAGAUAUUGUUUUUCUUUUUUCUUUUUUUAAAACAAAUUGAAGGUUUGUGGCAACCCUGCAUCAAGUAGUCUCUUGGUGACAUUUGUUCAACAGCAGGUGCUCACUUCAGGCAUGCCUCUAUGUCAUGUUUUGUGUCCUCUGCAAGGGAUCCUGGGGGCAACAUCCAAAGCUGUUUAAUGACUGUGAAAUACCUUAUGUAGCAGCCUUCAAAGCAAAAAUCACCCCCAAACCUUAACCUGGAUUUUUUUCAAAACCUCCAACAAUGUCACCAUUGAAGCAGCAAAGCCAUACAAGCCAAAGAAACACUGUGUUCCCAACCCACGAAUGAAGCUGAGGCAUGAUGGACAAGGCUUGUGGAACUAGACUUUUCUUCUCCAAGUGCUCUCUCCCACAACUUCCAAAAUUAUCCCCAUGGGGAUGAUGCUUACAACAGAAAUGCCAGCUCCACCCUCUUUCCAGCUGCUGCUGGACAUCACCGCCUGGAUUUAUGCUCAGUUCUAGACACAAUGCAUGGCCUAGAGUGGGUGCUCACUGUUGAAUAAAUAGUCAAUGAUGUCCUACAGAUCCUAUCUGUAUCUAAGUUCACCUUAUCCACUGCUGAGUGCCCAGUGCCUAGACAAGGCUUGGGAGACCACUGUUCAAUGAAUAAACGGAAGAAUGCAUAGUCCCUCCCUCCACUCCAACA